rnacentral:tRNA from 1 species
GGAAAGGUGGGUGAGCGGUUGAAACCGCACGACUGGAAAUCGUGUAGGGUGUAAAAGCCCUCGGGGGUUCGAAUCCCCCCCUUUCCG